AUAUUGAGUCCUACUGCAUUUAUAUACUCCUGAACAGUUGAGUUCAGCAUAGAGGAAUGACAAAGAAUGGAUUGACUAGUGCUGCUUCCAUGCUGAGAUGUUUUGAAGCUCAUGACAACUGCUGUGGAGGAGCUAGAUGCAGCUAAAAUCCCCACCAAGCAUGAGUGUCUCCAUGUUCCCUGUUCUUAUCUCCCUAUAAAGAAUGAGAGGCCUCAGGAAACAAAAUGGAGGAAAAGAUCAAGCAGAUUUUGAAUUUGAACUACGAUGGUGUCCUUUGGCAUGCAGAUUUUGUUUAUCUUUCCACAGCUGAGGUGGCAACAUGAAGCUUUUAUGAUGACACUUGUGGAGGUUCUGUUCUUUAUCUGCCUUUUGGUGACAUAAUGGACUAAGGAGAACUUUGCUCUCACUCUUAACAGAAAUCAGAAGAAGACGGUUUCCUUCAAAACUUGUUAUGCUUGAAUCUUCAGACCAAGAGAGCGAGUCAGCUGGAAGAUAGACGUUACCUAUAAGAGUAUAAAUGGAUACUUUGUGAGCCUUGGAAGUCAAUGUUUUAUUUCUUUUAUUCAUGUGUUCUGGUAGCAAUUCUCAAUUUUUAGCUUCUUCCACACUUAACAGAGUUAUUCCUGCCAUAUUAUAAUUUUGACUGUUAAUAUCUAUUUUCUCUGUGUUUGAGAAGAAAUGAUGAAAACCUGUUCCUUUAGGGACAUAGCUGACCUUUUGAUUUCUUUGGAUUCAUGUGUGGCGAGAAAAAAAAAAUCAAAACAAAACAAAAAAAUCCUCUCCUGAUCCUGCUGUAUUCCUUUACAACUAGCUGUCUAAUCUCUCGCUAAUAACUUUUAUCUAUUUAUUUUCUUGUCUCAAAAGAUGUUUUUGUGAGAAAUAGCCAUCUCUUUCCUUGGUGUGAAAGUACUUUUUGGUAAAAAUCUUAACACUGGAAGAAACUGCAGUGCAGUAGCAUGCUAAUACCUGAAGGUCUGCAAUAUAGCAAACUCUACAGACUAGACUUCUUCAAUUCAAUAAGCAAAUUCUUAACUGCUGACCCUGUCAUAUAAGAAACUAGAUUUUAAUAGCUUGGAGAAGGUUUUUCAUUGCCCUGAGCUUCUCUCAAAAAAGGGAAGGAAGCAGUUAAGUCUAUGAAUGUGUAUCUUACUUCUUUUUAAUUGAAUUUUCAUUCUUCUGGAGCCAAUCUCUCAUGAAGUCAGCAUUGGAACCUCUCAGUCGUCAAGUCAUCAGUGUCAGUAACAUGCUUUAACUUCCAGGCAUUUUUAAGGUAUCUUUGGUGUUUGCAAGUCUUCAAUGCGGUGUAUCUGAAGAGAUUCACUGUGGUCACUAGCAUAUUUUAAGGUGACUAGUAGCUCCAUAUACCUCCUAUGAUUAUGGUAAAGAAGCUUUUCUCUGUAUUUUCUGUCAAAACAUAUUUCCUGUGAUUAUUAGAUUGCCCUGGUAAGUAUUGGAGAUAUACCCAUCUGGAAUACUUACUUGUACUCAGUUUCUACAGAUGAUUUUUAGGUCUAUAACAAAAUUUCGGUACUUCAGAUCAUGGCUUUUAGUUUUUAAUAUCUCAGUUUACUUUUCUUAACCUUCCAGCAACUACUUGUUGUACAAUUCAGAUGUUCUGGUCAAACAAACUGUUUUGCAACUAUCACUUAAUAUAAUAACUGAACCAUAUUUUUGGACUGAUUAAAUUUCAUGAAUUGAUUAUGCCUCAAUGUAUCCACUAUUCUGAUGAUUACAUUCAGACAUGUGUCCUGUCAGCACAGCUCAUAAAUUUCCAUUAUAGAGGGCAUGAGGACACUUCAAUGCAGAGCAACCACAGUGCUUCAGUUGUAUAUGUUUAUUGUAUGGUUAUAUGAUUUUGGAAACUUUCCUUUCUCUCUCACUCUAAAGAAAUUUUUGGAAAUCUUUGAAUUUUUUCUAGGAAAAAAAACCCUGUGUUUUGUCUAUGUUCCUGGUUACAAUAUUUGGUGUGUUGAGUGCAGUAAAAAACUGAUCUUUUAUCUUCAGAUCUCUUUUUCUUAGUUCAUAUUGGUUUCUCAGAAGCUUUUAGGUUUAUCUUCCAGAUUUUUUUUCUUGCUAUUAUAAAAAUUGUGGAAAACUAGAUGUGCAGAUGAAUGAUGGAUUUGUGAUCUGUAGUCAUCUAAAGAGCUUCACUUCCUACCUCUGCACUGUGAUGCUGGAGUAGUACAGAGUUUCUCUAAAAAUAAGAUAGAACACUCACACAGUGUCUAUUCCUGGGAAAUUUACCUCUGGUCCUCAUGGAUGCUUAGUUCACAUUACUAAGCCAAAACACUACUAAUGCAAAAACACUAUCAUUUGAGUUUCCUUAGUGAUCUGAGUAUACAGAUUGCACUGGGUUAUAGUAAGUAAGCAGUACUGCUUCACGUUAAGAUAAUAAGUAUAAGCUGCAGUCUGUCUCUCUGAGUUCAUUGCUACAUGCACACUAGGUUGCUGAUUCUACUUAUGUGAGAACUGAGACUUUGCUGUAUUCUUAAUCUGUGAAAAGCAUUUAUUGUAUUUCUACUGUUGACUUAGAAAAUCAAUACUGCUUUCUGUCAGAUCUGCUGCUACUAUUUUUGCAAUAUGAACUCCUAUCUCUUUGUUUUGGAGACAGUUCACAAAAUCUGCAGAAAUCCCUAAGAUCCCAGGAGAAAGUGAAAUCCCUAAACAAGCAUUCCUUACUUUGUUUGAGGUGGUAACUGGUAAAAUAAAUGACUAUUGAG
rnacentral:lncRNA from 7 species